rnacentral:lncRNA from 1 species
CCACUUGACUUCACGUUCCAGGAUGUCUGGCUCUAGGUGAGUGAUCACACGGAUUGGUCACUGGUAAUUGCGUUUUCAGGAACUCAGCUUGGACAGAAAUCAGAGGCUGCCAAAGGGGCUGGGACACGGGCCACCAGAGGCAUCUGCUAUAUCAUGUGAUCAACUGCUUCCACGCCCCUGAGGACCUUAGAAGAGGCUCUAGCUAGUGAGGUGCCCAACAGCGGAAGCUUUUAGCUUCAGGCUUUAAUCUGCCUUUGUGGAGGAACUCACGUUUGUCCUGGAGGGAAUGGCUGAGGCAGUCUGCUCUCCACACAGGGUGUAUCCUCCUUCCCUGGUCCCCGCUACUUGGAGUUCCAGCGUAGCUCUCAGGCGCAUCCUGCCUGCUCCUCUGGCUCUCCAGCAUUCCAUGCAUGAAGUGAAAGGCAACUGGGGAGCACCAGUCUUGCUGUGGGCUUUACUGGGAUGUUGCUGAGAUUUAAGGCUGAUUCAGUCAUCAGUUGUCUUGUUAGAUAAACUAGAGAGAGGGGGAAAAGCCUGGAGUUAGCAAUUUGUAGACAGGAAGCAAUGCCCCGGGGGAAUAGAGGCGGCCUUAGUUACUGUCAAGGAAGAAAUCUCUCCCUCAGGACCAUUUCAGAUUUUUCAAUAGUUCACCAGAGAGCCAAUGAAUUAACCAUCUGCUGGCCAAUGCAGGCAAGUCCUCUGACGGGUCUUUAAAGGAAAGGUUUCGGGACUUCCCUGGUGGUCCGGUGGCUGAGACUUCAUGCUCCCAACGCAGGGGGUGUGGGUUUGAUCCCUAGUCAAGGAGCGAGAUCCCACAUGCCACAACUGAGAGCUAGCACAAAUAAACAAACAAACAAAUAUAAGUAGAGGAAAGUUUCAAAAGAAAAGCAGGAAUACAGAGCAGUGCCCAUGAGAGAUAGAGCUCAGUGAUUUCCCUGCGUUUGUUAGCUUGGUCUCCCCUUUCUCUGNNNNNNNNNGCAUCCUUAGGAUAUAAACAGUCUGUGUGCCCACCUUCGCAAGCAGCAAAGAGGAAGCUGGUUUCAUUCCCAUCAGGGUUGGUGGCUGGCGAGGAGAAGAUUCUCCCAAGGGUGAAGUGGGUGGUGACAGCAACUGAGGAAGAGAAAAGGGGACACAGGAGUGGAGAGGUCCAGAAGGAAAGCUAUAGAAUGGUGGGCAAUCCCUGUAACAGUCAGGGUGUGGUUUUAGAAUGGCUUUCAGGCUAAAAAACUGGGGGAGGAGAGCUCAAUUCAGAAAAAUUGGGAGGACGGGGAUUUCCCUGGUGGUUCCGUGCUUAAGACUCUGCCUUCCAAUGCAGGGGGCACAG